CAGACUCAGAACAUGGCCGCUGUGGACAACAGUAAAAGAAAACCCUCUGAACUACAGAACCUCCUGCCCAACAAACAGACAAAACUCAGCUCAAUAAGGACCACCCUGCACGCAAGGAGACCGAAGUGCACCCUACUUGGCCAAAUAAUUGACCUGUUCUGAGAGAUGCAACUCAGAAAAAGAUAACAGAAGGAGCCAACCAAGAUCAAAAGUGUUGGUAAGUACCGCAUCAAAUUGAAACACCACAUUUACACAAUGUUUACACUUGAGGUCCAGAGGUCCAGGAGGAGCGGAAGGCCCCAGCUGCAUAAAUUUUGUCAAAG